rnacentral:rRNA from 1 species
UACGACCGUACCGCAAACCGACACUGGUGCGCGAGAUGAGUAUUCUAAGGCGCUUGAGAGAACUCAGGAGAAGGAACUCGGCAAAUUGACACCGUAACUUCGGAAGAAGGUGUGCCCUAUUAGUGUGUAGUGAACAACGAAGCAUGAAUGGGUUGCAAAAAAUCGGUGGCUGCGACUGUUUAUUAAAAACACAGCACUCUGCAAACACGAAAGUGGACGUAUAGGGUGUGACGCCUGCCCGGUGCUGGAAGAUUAAAUGAUGGGGUGCAAGCUCUUGAUUGAAGUCCCAGUAAACGGCGGCCGUAACGAUAACGGUCCUAAGGUAGCGAAAUUCCUUGUCGGGUAAGUUCCGACCUGCACGAAUGGCGUAACGAUGGCCACACUGUCUCCUCCUGAGACUCAGCGAAGUUGAAAUGUUUGUGAUGAUGCAAUCUCCCCGCGGAAAGACGGAAAGACCCCAUGAACCUUUACUGUAGCUUUGUAUUGGACUUUGAACAGAUCUGUGUAGGAUAGGUGGGAGGCUUUGAGGCAGGGCCGCUAGAUCUUGUGGAGCCAACGUUGAAAUACCACCCUGGUGUGUUUGAGGUUCUAACCUAGGUCCAUUAUCUGGAUCGGGGACAGUGCAUGGUAGGCAGUUUGACUGGGGCGGUCUCCUCCCAAAGCGUAACGGAGGAGUUCGAAGGUACGCUAGUUACGGUCGGACAUCGUGACGAUAGUGCAAUGGCAUAAGCGUGCUUAACUGCGAGACUGACAAGUCGAGCAGAUGCGAAAGCAGGACAUAGUGAUCCGGUGGUUCUGUAUGGAAGGGCCAUCGCUCAACGGAUAAAAGGUACUCUGGGGAUAACAGGCUGAUACCGCCCAAGAGUUCAUAUCGACGGCGGUGUUUGGCACCUCGAUGUCGGCUCAUCUCAUCCUGGGGCUGUAGCCGGUCCCAAGGGUAUGGCUGUUCGCCAUUUAAAGAGGUACGUGAGCUGGGUUUAAAACGUCGUGAGACAGUUUGGUCCCUAUCUUCCGUGGGCGCUGCAGAUUUGAGGAAGCCUGCUCCUAGUACGAGAGGACCGGAGUGGACACACCUCUGGUGUAUCGGUUGUCACGCCAGUCGCAUUGCCGAGUAGCUAAGUGUGGAAGAGAUAACCGCUGAAAGCAUCUAAGCGGGAAACUCGUUUCAAGAUGAGAUCUGCCGGGGCCUUGAGCCCCCUAAAGAGUCGUUCAAGACCAGGACGUUGAUAGGUCAGGUGUGGAAGCG